GUGUCUAUAGACUGUAUAUUAUUAACAGUCUAUGAUAAUAACGUCUUUUUUAACGUCCUAUUUUAAACGUCCGUCAGUUGGUAGUUAACGGACGUGUGUAAAGUGUGUGCUUUACCAAAGUUGAUCUUAACACAAAUGUGCUAUGGGAACACUAUAAGGUAUCCUCAGUGAAUGAGACAAUGCUGCAUCUGUCUCUGUGUCGUCAGACGGGAUAUGGAAGGAGGCUCUUCCUCACCUGAUGUCUUUACUGAGUUACAAGAACAAGGGGAGCCGGGGAGCAUCUGCCGGAGCCGAGACAGGAGUCGGCGUUCUUACAGUAAGAGAACAAAUCAUUACAGCAGCGCAUACUGCCUAAUCAUAGACAAACAGAGGAAGGAUGACCACAUGGGUGUAUGUUCCACACACUACAAAUGAAGUAGAAUAAGGGAAAGCAAACCAGCAAUUACAUGCAAAUGCACAUUUUUGAGGCAACAAUCUGCUUUUUUUGCUGCCUGUUGAAACAUUGCAAUAACAUGCCAUUUGAGAAGUUUGCACUGCAAUAACUUUGGUGGCUAGGACUGAGAAAUAUUGAUACAGAAACAUGAGAGCAAAAAACAAUGUAGCUAUAUUUCAAAAUGUGUGAUACAGAAAGUGUGGAUAGUUGCAGAGAAGUUUUCAA